CACGUAGGAGGCGAGCGUUGUCCGGAAUCAUUGGGCGUAAAGAGCGCGCAGGCGGCUUGGCAAGUCGGGUGUGAAAUCCCGGGGCUCAACCCCGUGACUGCAUCCGAUACUGUCAGGCUAGAGGUAGGUAGGGGAGAUCGGAAUUCCGUGGUGUAGGCGGUGAAAUGCGCAGAUAUCAGGAGGAACACCGGUGGCGAAGGCGGCAUCCUGGGACCGAAUAUUGACGCUGAGGAGCGAAAGCCAGGGAGGCAAACGGGAUUAGAACUAC
rnacentral:rRNA from 1 species